GACGAACGCUGGCGGCGUGCCUAAUACAUGCCAGUUGAGCGCUGAAGGUUGGUACUUGUACCGACUGGAUGAGCAGCGAACGGGUGAGUAACGCGUGGGGAAUCUGCCUUUGAGCGGGGGACAACAUUUGGAAACGAAUGCUAAUACCGCAUAAAAACUUUAAACACAAGUUUUAAGUUUGAAAGAUGCAAUUGCAUCACUCAAAGAUGAUCCCGCGUUGUAUUAGCUAGUUGGUGAGGUAAAGGCUCACCAAGGCGAUGAUACAUAACCGACCUGAGAGGGUGAUCGGCCACAUUGGGACUGAGACACGGCCCAAACUCCUACGGGAGGCAGCAGUAGGGAAUCUUCGGCAAUGGACGAAAGUCUGAACGAGCAACGCCGCGUGAGUGAAGAAGGUUUUCGGAUCGUAAAACUCUGUUGGUAGAGAAGAACGUUGGUGAGAGUGGAAAGCUCAUCGAGUGACGGUAACUACCCAGAAAGGGACGGCUAACUACGUG
rnacentral:rRNA from 1 species